UCCUCAGCCAGAGCACAAGAGCCAUGGCCUGUAACAAGAGCUUUUCCAGCAAUUAUUUUCUAUUGACGCCAGAAGAAGUUGGCUUCUUUGAUCUGAUUCACAUUUUGUUCUCCACCACCAAGUUUAAGGAAGGAAAUAAGUUUUUAGAUAUGUCUAAGGUAGAGGAGAUCAACUUCAGGCGCAGAUGGUUUAUAUUUCUGUCCAUUCUGGGUCAAAAAUUUCUGCAGUUUGUGUCAAAGCCACUCUCAGAGCUGGGGUCGGGGAUCGAAGUGGCUUUGAACCUUAUACCAAGCAACCGCAAUGUGUUUGUGCUCGUGCUCAAUUUCCUCCGAGGGAGGGCGGUAAAGCCAGAUAAAACAUCGGCAACAUUUCUGUCAUUUAUAGGGAUUAUAGACAAGCGGGUGGAGUUGGACAGUAGCAUCAAACAUGAUGAUGCCAACUACCAUGCAGCACUCUCUGCGAUGGCUUCUAAAGCAUCAUAUGAAAACAGUGCAUGCAUUGAAACUAUAGUCAAGAAUCACUGGAAGAUGGAGUUUUUGGGAUUUUAUGACUUCUGGAAUGAUUAUCAGGGAAAAGCCACGACACAAGCCUUCUUGCUUCGUGACAAAACUUGUGACCAAGACACAAUUGUUCUGGCCUUUAGAGGAACUGAACCCUUUGAUGCAGAUGCAUGGUGCUCUGACUUUGACUUCUCCUGGUAUGAGCUUUACGGGGUUGGCAAAAUUCAUGGUGGCUUCAUGAAAGCUUUAGGGUUACACAAGAAUGAUGGUUGGCCUAAGGAAGAAGUCAAACAAGAUGGUAAACCACCCCGACCCCGAGCUUACCAUGCCAUUAGGGACAUGCUAAAUAAACUUUUGAAGCAAAAUGAUGAAUCAAGAUAAAUAGUGACAGGCCAUAGUCUCGGUGGGGCUCUAGCAAUUCUGUUUCCAGUGAUUUUGGCUAUGCAUGAUGAGGCAUGGUUAUUGGAGAGAUUGCAGGGGGUACAUACAUUUGGGCAGCCAAGGGUAGGAUAUGAGAAAUUUGGAGAGUUCAUGGAAAAACAAUUGAAAGAGCAUCGCGUUCCAUAUUUUAGAAUUGUUUAUGGUAAUGAUAUGGUGCCUAGGUUGCCUUUUGAUGACAAUGCCUUAAUGUACAAGCACUUUGGGACAUGCCUCUACUAUAAUAGGCACUAUGAAGUGAAGGUUGUUGAAGAAGAACCAUAUAGGAAUUACUUCUCACCAUUGGGGGCAAUGCCCAAGAUGAUAAAUGCUUUCUGGGAGCUGAUUAGAAGCUUCACUAUUUCAUACACCAAGGGAUCAGGCUACAAAGAAGGGUGGCUUUGAAUUGGAAAAACCUAAAAUCCGGCUCUGGGAUGUUGAAGUUUGUAGCACUCUGGCUCUCAGUCUUGGUAAAUUUUCUAUUUUGAGAGUCAAUUACAAGUCUUGUGCAAUUGGCAUACUCGUGUGUGUGUCACUGGCAGAACCAAAAACGAGGAACACGAACAAGUCUUGCAAUUA